rnacentral:rRNA from 1 species
UACGUAGGGUGCGAGCGUUAAUCGGAAUUACUGGGCGUAAAGCGUGCGCAGGCGGUUCGUCAUGUCUGAUGUGAAAGCCCCGGGCUCAACCUGGGAAUGGCAUUGGAAACUAGCGGGCUGGAGUGUGGCAGAGGGGGGUGGAAUUCCACGUGUAGCAGUGAAGUGCGUAGAGAUGUGGAGGAAUACCGAUGGCGAAGGCAGCCCCCUGGGCCAAUACUGACGCUCAUGCACGAAAGCGUGGGGAGCAAACGGG